GAUGAACGCUGACAGAAUGCUUAACACAUGCAAGUCGAUGGGGAAGUGGUGCUUGCACCAUGGCAACCAUGGCGGACGGGUGAGUAACGCGUAAGGGACUUACCUGCAGGACUGGGAUAACAGGGGGAAACUCCUGACAAGACCGGAUAAUGUCAUGGAGCUGCAUGGCUUUAUGAUGAAAGGAGACGCCUGCGGAGAGCCUUGCGUCCUAUUAGCUAGUUGGUGAGGUAAUGGCUCACCAAGGCGAAGAUAGGUAGCCGGCCUGAGAGGGUGGACGGCCACAAGGGGACUGAGAUACGGCCCUUACUCCUACGGGAGGCGGCAGUGGGGAAUAUUGGACAAGGGGGGCAACCCUGAUCCAGCAAUUCUGUGUGCACGAAGAAGGUUUUCGGAGUGUAAAGUGCUUUCAGCAGGGAAGAAGUAAGUGACGGUACCUGCAGAAGAAGCGACGGCUAAAUACGUG
rnacentral:rRNA from 1 species